GCACUUAUUGAUGUUUAAAGUACUUAAACAAAAUUCAGAAUGACACAGAAAAGAUUAGCAUGGUCCCUGUGCAAGGAUGACCUGCCAAUCGAUGCAGCGUUCAGUAUUUGG